rnacentral:piRNA from 1 species
UCGUAUUGAAACGCUGCUCGAUUCAAAUC